CAUUGGGACUGAGACACGGCCCAAACUCCUACGGGAGGCAGCAGUGGGGAAUAUUGCACAAUGGGGGAAACCCUGAUGCAGCGACGCCGCGUGAGUGAAGAAGUAUUUCGGUAUGUAAAGCUCUAUCAGCAGGGAAGAAAUACUGACCAUAGGGUCAGCAGACGGUACUUGACUAAGAAGCCCCGGCUAACUACGUGCCAGCAGCCGCGGUAAUACGUAGGGGGCAAGCGUUAUCCGGAUUUACUGGGUGUAAAGGGAGCGUAGACGGCAGCGCAAGUCUGAAGUGAAAUGCCAGGGCUUAACCCUGGAACUGCUUUGGAAACUGUGCAGCUAGAGUGCAGGAGAGGUAAGUGGAAUUUCUAGUGUAGCGGUGAAAUGCGUAGAUAUUAGGAGGAACACCAGUGGCGAAGGCGGCUUACUGGACUGUAACUGACGUUGAGGCUCGAAAGCGUGGGGAGCAAACAGGAUUAGAUACCCUGGUAGUCCACGCUGUAAACGAUGAUUACUAGGUGUUGGGGGACCAAGGUUCUUCG
rnacentral:rRNA from 1 species